rnacentral:rRNA from 1 species
UACAGAGGUCCCAAGCGUUGUUCGGAUUCACUGGGCUAAAGGGUGCGUAGGUGGCGUGGUAAGUUUGAUGUGAAAGCUCAGGGCUUAACCCUGAAAUGGCAUUGAAUACUACUGUGCUGGAGGUUUGGAGGGGGGACUGGAAUUCUUGGGUGUAGCAGUGAAAUGCGUAGAUAUCAAGAGGAACACCAGUGGCAAAGGCGAGUCCC